rnacentral:misc_RNA from 1 species
GAUGAAGAACGUAGCGAAAUGCGAUAAGUAAUGUGAAUUGCAGAAUUCAGUGAAUCAUCGAAUCUUUGAACGCACAUUGCGCCCCCUGGAAUUCCGGGGGGCAUGCCUGUUCGAGCGUCAUUGCUGCCCUCAAGCACGGCUUGUGUGUUGGGCCUCCGUCCUCCUCCCGGGGGACGGGCCCGAAAGGCAGCGGCGGCACCGCGUCCGGUCCUCGAGCGUAUGGGGCUUCGUCACCCGCUCUUGUAGGCCCGGCCGGCGCUUGCCGACACAUCAAUCUUUUUUCCAGGUUGACCUCGGAUCAGGUAGGGAUACCCGCUGAACUUAAGCAUAUCAAUAAGCGGAGGA